rnacentral:rRNA from 1 species
GAUGAACGCUGGCGGCGUGCCUAAUACAUGCAAGUCGAGCGAACGGACGAGAAGCUUGCUUUUCUGAUGUUAGCGGCGGACGGGUGAGUAACACGUGGAUAACCUCCCUAUAAGACUGGGAUAACUUCGGGAAACCGGAGCUAAUACCGGAUAAUAUUUUGAACCGCAUGGUUCAAAAGUGAAAGACGGUCUUGCUGUCACUUAUAGAUGGAUCCGCGCUGCAUUAGCUAGUUGGUAAGGUAACGGCUUACCAAGGCAACGAUGCAUAGCCGACCUGAGAGGGUGAUCGGCCACACUGGAACUGAGACACGGUCCAGACUCCUACGGGAGGCAGCAGUAGGGAAUCUUCCGCAAUGGGCGAAAGCCUGACGGAGCAACGCCGCGUGAGUGAUGAAGGUCUUCGGAUCGUAAAACUCUGUUAUUAGGGAAGAACAUAUGUGUAAGUAACUGUGCACAUCUUGACGGUACCUAAUCAGAAAGCCACGGCUAACUACGUG